ACCUCAAAAGGAAGGUUGGGAUUGAUUUUCGGGGUUAUGGUCCCUAAGGUUUAGGAAUUAGGGGCCCAAAGAGCUCCUAAAUAGCAUUUAUCUAGUGUGAGAACAGUAAGUUGUGUAUAAGUAUUUCAAUUGUUCUGAAAUUGUACCACAAUGUUUAAUACCAUAAGUAGAAGGUUGAGAUAUAUAUUAAGGGUUAUGGGGCAAACAGUCUAGGAAUAAAGGGCCAAAAACAAGCAUUUUUGUAGUUUCAAGUCAAUAAAUUGGAGUUAUCUUUCUUCGUCCAGAAU
rnacentral:lncRNA from 1 species